rnacentral:rRNA from 1 species
AGAAGGACGUAGUAAUCUGCGAUAAGCCUCGGGGAGUUGAUAAACGAACUUUGAUCCGAGGAUGUCCGAAUGGGGAAACCCCGCCAGGCCUUUUGGACCUGGUGACUCCCACCUGAAUAUAUAGGGUGGGUAGAGGGAACGUGGGGAAGUGAAACAUCUCAGUACCCACAGGAAGAGAAAACAAUAGUGAUUCCGCUAGUAGUGGCGAGCGAACGUGGAACAGGCUAAACCGAUUAUGUGUGAUAUCCGGCAGGAGUUGCAUAGUCGGGGUUGUGGGACUUUUUGUGAAUCUCUGCCGAGGUUCGAGAGUGAUGGCAGCAUAUAGGAGAACAGUUUGGGAAGUCUGACCGUAGUGGGUGAUAGUCCCGUAUCCGAAAUGUGUUUGUCAGCUUGAAGAGUAUCCCAAGUAGCACGGGGCCCGAGAAAUCCCGUGUGAAUCUGUCAGGACCACCUGAUAAGCCUAAAUACUCCCAGAUGACCGAUAGUGAACAAGUACCGUGAGGGAAAGGUGAAAAGUACCCCGGGAGGGGAGUGAAAUAGUACCUGAAACCGUUUGCUUACAAUCCGUUGGAGCAGCCUUGUAGCUGUGACAGCGUGCCUUUUGAAGAAUGAGCCUGCGAGUUAGUGAUAUGUGGCGAGGUUAACCUGUGAGGGGUAGCCGUAGCGAAAGCGAGUCUGAAUAGGGCGUUUGAGUCGCAUGUUCUAGACCCGAAGCGAAGUGAUCUAUCCAUGGCCAGGUUGAAGCGCGUGUAAGAGCGCGUGGAGGACCGAACCCACUUAGGUUGAAAACUGAGGGGAUGAGCUGUGGAUAGGGGUGAAAGGCCAAUCAAACUUCGUGAUAGCUGGUUCUCUCCGAAAUGCAUUUAGGUGCAGCGUUGCGUGUUUCUUACCGGAGGUAGAGCUACUGGAUGGCCGAUGGGCCCUACAAGGUUACUGACGUCAGCCAAACUCCGAAUGCCGGUAAGUGAGAGCGCAGCAGUGAGACUGUGGGGGAUAAGCUUCAUAGUCGAGAGGGAAACAACCCAGAUCACCAAAUAAGGUCCCAAAGCGUGUGCUAAGUGGAAAAGGAUGUGGAGCUGCUUAGACAACCAGGAGGUUGGCUUAGAAGCAGCCACCCUUGAAAGAGUGCGUAAUAGCUCACUGGUCAAGUGGUUCCGCGCCGACAAUGUAACGGGGCUCAAGCACACCACCGAAUUUGUGACAUUCAUAUUAUUGGUAGGCCUUCGUGGUCCAGCCGUGUGGAUGGGUAGGAGAGCGUCGUGUGGGCUGUGAAGCGGCGGUGUAAACCAGCCGUGGAGACUACACGAGUGAGAAUGCAGGCAUGAGUAGCGAAAGACGGGUGAGAAACCCGUCCUCCGGAAGACCAAGGGUUCCAGGGUCAAGCUAAUCUUCCCUGGGUAAGUCGGGACCUAAGGCGAGGCCGACAGGCGUAGUCGAUGGACAACGGGUUGAUAUUCCCGUACCGGCGAAAAACCGUCAAAGACAAUCUAGUAGUGCUAAGAGUCCUAAGUCCGUGGAUGAUCACCUUCGGGUGUGAUUUUGCGGGGAUAACGCUUGAACCCGUCUGGUGCGUUUAGCGUAUUAACAGGUGUGACGCAGGAAGGUAGUCAAUCUCGGGCGAUGGUAGUCCCGGGCUAAGGAUGUAGGAGGAGAGAUAGGCAAAUCCGUCUCUCGUGUUCUCUGAGAUCUGAUGGGGAGUCUUUUUUGAUUCUAUUGGUGAUCCUAUGCUGCCAAGAAAAGCAUCGGCGUGAGGUUUUAGCCGCCCGUACCCCAAACCGACUCAGGUGGUCAGGUAGAGAAUACUAAGGAGAUCGAGAGAAUCGUGGUUAAGGAACUCGGCAAAAUGCCCCCGUAACUUCGGGAGAAGGGGGGCCUGAGGCGUGAUCGGACUUGCUCCGUGAAGCGUUUUUGGGCCGCAGAGACCAGUGGGAAGCGACUGUUUACUAAAAACACAGGUCCGUGCGAAGACGCAAGUCGAUGUAUACGGACUGACGCCUGCCCGGUGCUGGAAGGUUAAGAGGAGGGGUUAGACUUUGGUCGAGGCUCUGAAUUUAAGCCCCAGUAAACGGCGGUGGUAACUAUAACCAUCCUAAGGUAGCGAAAUUCCUUGUCGGGUAAG